rnacentral:rRNA from 1 species
AGCGGCAAACGGGGUAGUAAUGUGUCGGAACGUGCCCAGAGGACGGGGAUAGCGGCGGGAAACUGCCGGUAAUACCCGAUGAUCUCGAGAGAGCAAAGGUGUGAUUCCGCCUUUGGAGCGGCCGACAUGGUAUUAGCUAGUUGGCGGGGUAACGGCCCACCAAGGCUUUGAUGCCUAGGGGAUGUGAGAGCAUGAUCCCCACCAUUGGGACUGAGACACUGCCCAGACACCUACGGGUGGCUGCAGUCGAGAAUCUUCGUCAAUGGGCGAAAGCCUGAACGAGCGACGCCGCGUGCGGGAUGAAGGCCCUUGGGUUGUAAACCGCUGUCGAGGGGGAUGAAGGCAUUCAGGUACUCCUGAAUGUUUGACAGAGCCCUGGAGGAAGCACGGGCUAAGUUCGUGCCAGCAGCCGCGGUAAUACGAACUGUGCGAACGUUAUUCGGAAUCACUGGGCUUACAGGGUGCGUAGGCGGCUAUUCAGGUCAGGUGUGAAAGCCCUCGGCUCAACCGAGGAACUGCGCUUGAAACCGGAUGGCUCGAGUCAGCUAGAGGUACACGGAACUUCCAGUGGAGCGGUGAAAUG